rnacentral:rRNA from 1 species
ACGAACGCUGGCGGCGUGCUUAACACCUGCAAGUCGCACGGAAAGGCCCUGCUUUUGUGGGGUGCUCGGGUGGCGAACGGGUGAGUAACACGUGAGUAACCUGCCCUUGACUUUGGGAUAACUUCAGGAAACUGGGGCUAAUACCGGAUAGGAGCUCCUGCUGCAUGGUGGGGGUUGGAAAGUUUCGGCGGUUGGGGAUGGACUCGCGGCUUAUCAGCUUGUUGGUGGGGUAGUGGCUUACCAAGGCUUUGACGGGUAGCCGGCCUGAGAGGGUGACCGGCCACAUUGGGACUGAGAUACGGCCCAGACUCCUACGGGAGGCAGCAGUGGGGAAUAUUGCACAAUGGGCGGAAGCCUGAUGCAGCAACGCCGCGUGCGGGAUGACGGCCUUCGGGUUGUAAACCGCUUUCGCCUGUGACGAAGCGUGAGUGACGGUAAUGGGUAAAGAAGCACCGGCUAACUACGUG